rnacentral:lncRNA from 1 species
AUAUGUUUUUGAAGCAAAAUGAAUAAAACAUGGUGCUUUCCAAUAGAAAAUACUAACACUGAAGGUCACAUUCUAAUGUUUGGGGGUUUUCCACACAGAAAUCUGGUAGAAGGAAAGUUUUAAUUGAGGUUUGAUUAAGAUCUCUUCGUGGGUCAGGGAUUUUAAUUUUUGGUACAAAUGAAGUAUACAGUUGCUUACUUUUGACAAUUAAAAAGUAGGCUACUGAGAGGCUAAGAUGGAAUGACUAAAGUAUUUGUUGGCCCAUGAACUCCCAGUGAGGACUGGGUGGACUGGGCGAGCAUGUGGCUGUCAUCUGCUCCUACNNNNNNNNNNNNNNNNNNNNNACCCCCGACUCAGAUGAAGGAGAAUGAAUAGUGCGGACAGGCAGUCUCACACCGAGUGAUUCUGAUAAACACACCAAAGUCUAGAAACCACUGAUUUACAGGAGAGCAUGAUCAUCUAACAUGUAGCUUGACAGAACAUUUGCACGUUACCAAUACUUAGCCCGACAGAGAACAUGACAUCUCCUUUGGGCCGUUAGAAUGCCUAUUUCCUGCUAGUUCAGGGAAACACCCAGGAUUCAUUGAUACAUAAUUCAAGUGUCCUCAGAUGAAAGUCCACAGAAAAAUCAGUCCCUUGGUGGAUCAGCAGAUGGGUGGUCCAGGGCUGGUAUAAAAUAUAAAUUACACAAAACUGUGAGCUAUGUCAUUUAGUCAACUGCUGUUAAGAACCUACACUAAAAGAGAACCCAAACCACAUACUUCAAAAUAUACCAUAUUUAUUCAAAUGCAAUCUUUUAUUCACUUUGGCCUCUUCUGUUUCUUUUCUGGGAUGGAAAUGAGGAGAAGUAGGAUGAAGUCAUUUAAGGCCCUGUACUGCACUAAAAUAAUCUAUGGGCUUUUUGCUUUUGCAGGUGGCUCAAUCUCUGGGCGGGAAGAUCCCCUGGAGGAAGAAAUGGCAACCCACCCUUGUAUUCUUGCCUGGAGAAUCCCAUGGACAGAGGACCCUAGCAGGCUGCAGUCCAUGGGGUCGCAAAGAGUUGGACGUGACUGAGCGACAAACACUUUCACUUUGCCUUUGCAAGUUGGAAACCACUGGGAUGACUUGAAAUAUCCGUCCCUGUCAGGUCAGACAUAAAAUAUCCUAGAGCAUCGACAAGGCGGCCAACACAGAUUACAUCUUAGCCAUCGCACUGAAAUCUANNNNNNNNNNNNNNNNNNNNNNNNNNNNNNNNNNNNNNNNNNNNNNNNNNNGAAAUCUAAGCGAUUCAGAGCAUCUCAGAGGCAAAGGGAAAAUGUGAGGAACAACCUCUCUGUAUGGGUCCUGAAAGGUGGUGAUUGCAUAGCAGCUACAGAAAAUCACUGUGAAACCAGAGAAAUGCUGGAAAUUGAGACAAAAAUUAUCCUAAAUUUUGAAAGCAGACAGAACAGAGUUCUCUCUGAUCACUGGAAAAACUUGAGAUUCUUCAACAGAUGACUCAGGAAUAUAGGAAACUGUGAUGUCCAGAAGGCGGCCCAGGUUUCCUGAGGCGCAAGUGAUACCAAACUAACCUAUGCUCUUUUGUAAUUUGAAUAUUUAAAAUCUGUGGAUUUGACAUGUUUAAAUGCCAGUCACUGAGGACAAAGCCUGCUGUCUCCCAUGAACAUUCUGUGAAUCAAUUUUAGUCAGACUCUAUUCUUACAUCUUCAAUAUUAUUCAUUCACUCAGUCAGCAUCGUGGUCACCAAGACAGCGCCAACUGGAGUCACGGACUGGUUUCCCAGAGCCUGUUACCUCUGUUUCCUUCCAAGCUGACACCCAGCACUUC